rnacentral:tRNA from 10 species
GAUCCGUUAGCUCAGUUGGGAGAGCGCUACCUUGACAGGGUAGAGGUCGUUGGUUCGAGCCCAAUACGGAUCACCA